UACAAACUGUGGAAUUGCCCUAACAGAACGUCCGAAUUUACAGGUCUUGGCCGGAGACCGGAGCCAUGUCUGUGUUAUCCCCACUGUAGACAAUCCUUGCUUCCUCUGGACAUCUGGAGCAGGCCCAAUUUGACUGAGAGCCUUCCCCCACUAAGUUACAGAUCCAGCCCCACCAUCACCACCAGAGUUGAGUCCAAAUCCAACACUCUAGGCCGGGUAGUGCUGGGACUUUGCCAGCCUCCUGCUGAGAAGUGAAUUCUCCCCUUGGCAAACUGCAGCCAGCCAGCCUCCUGGGUCGAGAGCCAAGCCAAAAGAUGUCUGAGAGAAGAAACCUGGGGUCCUGCAAAGGUAAGUGGGUCCCAGCCCACUCUCAAUCCCCCUCUCUCUGUGUGAUUGCUAUUCCACACUGGAGUCACCUGCUCUGUGCUUCUGAGGAACCUCACCUCUGGCACAUCAAUGGAAAUUGUCCUUCCCUUUUUAUUUAUUUUUAUUUAUUUUUUAUUUUUUGCCACCCUCACUGGCCACUAAGAGAUAGCCCUAGCUCCUCCUCUCCUGCCUGGUUUUGACAGGACUCACUCCAUUGAGUCCUGUCUCGUCUCUUUGCAGCCCUCCUCCUCCCCCCCCCCCCCCCCCCCCCCUUCAGCCAGCACUUAGGCCCUCCCUGAUUUAGCCCGUUACCUUGACAACCACUUGGGCCUGUCUCCCUCAUCACCACUGAAAACCUGAAGGUGGUUUUCCAGCUGCGGUACAUUUGCCCAAGUUGGGCACCCCUCCAGCUUCUAUUGGCUCGCCCUCUAUACAGCUGUACCCAAUAUAACAAACACAACCUUCCUGGCCCCUCAGCUGUAGUCUCGAAAUUGAUCUCACUGGUCCCGGGAACUCCGUCAAUACUGCCUCCUCUAGACUGAGCUCCUCACAGGCAGGAACAUGGUUGUUUCUCAAUAAACAAGUUGCAAAAAAAGGAA
ensembl:lincRNA AI480526 expressed sequence AI480526